GUGGGGAAUCUUGCGCAAUGGGCGAAAGCCUGACGCAGCCAUGCCGCGUGAAUGAUGAAGGUCUUAGGAUUGUAAAAUUCUUUCACCGGGGACGAUAAUGACGGUACCCGGAGAAGAAGCUCCGGCUAACUUCGUGCCAGCAGCCGCGGUAAUACGAAGGGGGCUAGCGUUGCUCGGAAUUACUGGGCGUAAAGGGCGCGUAGGCGGACAGCUUAGUCAGAGGUGAAAGCCCAGGGCUCAACCUUGGAAUUGCCUUUGAUACUGGCUGUCUUGAGUUUGGGAGAGGUGAGUGGAACUCCGAGUGUAGAGGUGAAAUUCGUAGAUAUUCGGAAGAACACCAGUGGCGAAGGCGACACACUGGCUCAUUACUGACGCUGAGGCGCGAAAGCGUGGGGAGCAAACAGGAUUAGAUACCCUUGUAGUCC
rnacentral:rRNA from 1 species